AUUGCAUCACCGCUGAAUUGGCAUUGUUGUUGUAGUCGUUGUUGCUAUAGCUGCAUAGCGAGUCGACAUCAUUACAGUCUUUGUUGUAAUGAUCCCUAUUGACAUUAUUGGAACAAGAAGAGGGAUGUGCUGCCACAAGGUUAUACUCUGGCUGGUCGUCUUGCUGGAUGAGGGCGGCGACCAUGGCCGUGUUCCCUGGAGGCGCCAUGCCUAACUGCAACUGAGAGAGUUGUUGCAGGACGGCGUGGAGUUCCUUCUCAGCUAGUUGAAUCUGAUAGGCGAGGUUCUGAACUUCGACCAAGCAUCCGCAAACGGGGUACCUCUCGCGCAUUGCAGCAUGGAACUUGACAGACUUGAUGGCGAUGGCCCUCUGGUCGGGGUGGAGCUCCUUGAGCAGUUUCUGUAUGUUUUUCACUCCAAACAAUCUGUGAACAUUGUGGAACACCUGUGGCUGAUCGGCUGGGAAGAAGGGUGCAAGGAGGCAUUGAGGGGUGCACCUCCGCCUCUGGAACUUGCACGACGCGCACGCCUGCCCGCUGUUGCCUCUCAGGGUCAUCCUCAAAAUGGAAGCAUGGUGGUUCUGUUCUGUUCUAUUUUCUGAGAGAGAGAGAUGGGAAGAGAGUGAUGUCAAGUGUUUGUGUGAGUGUUGGGAUUUUGGUGAAAGACUGAGUAAAAUUUGUAAGGCGAAAAUGAUGGGAAUGUUUGUUUGAAAUGUGGGGACAAGUGGAGGUUUAUUAGGAGAUUCCUAUUUUGCUCAGCAAAAUAUGGAUUUCCUAACUUUGAGGGGCUAUGCUAUUUCUAGUGGCUGUGCCCGGUUUUGUCGAUAUUAUGUUAAGUGAAAGUCAAAUGUUUUUUUUUUUCCUAAAAAAAUGUCAAAUGUUUAUUUA